rnacentral:rRNA from 1 species
UACGUAGGGGGCAAGCGUUAUCCGGAUUUACUGGGUGUAAAGGGAGCGUAGACGGAUGGACAAGUCUGAUGUGAAAGGCUGGGGCUCAACCCCGGGACUGCAUUGAAAACUGCCCGUCUUGAGUGCCGGAGAGGUAAGCGGAAUUCCUAGUGUAGCGGUGAAAUGCGUAGAUAUUAGGAGGAACACCAGUGGCGAAGGCGGCUUACUGGACGGUAACUGACGUUGAGGCUCGAAAGCGUGGGGAGCAAACAGG